rnacentral:rRNA from 1 species
GCUGGCGGCGUGCCUAAUGCAUGCAAGCCGAACGGCCCGAUUUAUCGGGCAGUGGCGAACGGGUGAGUAACACGUAAGAACCAACCCUCAAGUGGGGGAUAACCCCGAGAAAUCGGGGCUAAUACCGCAUGAGCUCCCCGAUUAUAUCGGGGAGGAAAGCUGAGGCGCUUGGGGACGGGCUUGCGUCCGAUUAGCUAGUUGGUGAGGUAAUGGCUCACCAAGGCUGAGAUCGGUAGCUGGUCUUAGAGGAUGAUCAGCCACACUGGGACUGAGAUACGGCCCAGACUCCUACGGGAGGCAGCAGCAGGGGAUAUUGCGCAAUGGGUGAAAGCCUGACGCAGCAACGCCGCGUGGGGGAAGAAGGUUUUCGGAUCGUAAACCCCUUUUCCCGGGGAAGAUUAUGACGGUACCCGGGGAAUAAGUCUCGGCUAACUACGUGCCAGCAGCCGCGGUAAGACGUAGGAGGCGAGCGUUAUCCGGAAUUAUUGGGCGUAAAGGGCGUGUAGGCGGCUCUUCAAGUCUCUGGUGAAAUCUCCCGGCUCAACUGGGAGGGUGUCAGAGAAACUGGAGGGCUUGAGGGCAGUAGAGGGGGGUGGAAUUCCCGGUGUAGUGGUGAUAUGCGUAGAUAUCGGGAGGAACACCAGUGGCGAAAGCGGCCCCCUGGGCUGUUCCUGACGCUGAAGCGCGAAAGCGUGGGGAGCAAACAGGAUUAGAUACCCUGGUAGUCCACGCCGCAAACGAUGGACACUAGGUAUGGGGGGUAUCGACCCCUUCCGGGCCGAAGCUUACGCCAUAAGUGUCCCGCCUGGGGAGUACGGCCGCAAGGCUAAAACUCAAAGGAAUUGA